GCUGCCCCAAAUACCAGCCGCGCCGCCGCAGCCCAAAACCCUAUCUCCCUUCCCGUAAUUCCAGUCGUCGCGCUCCACCCAAAAAUUGAUGCCGCCGCCGCCAAUCGCCGUCCACAGCCGCGCGCCCUAGCCGGCCGGUUGCAACCGCCGUCCCAGCCGCGCGCCCAAGCAGGCCGGCCCCCAACGCCGUCGCCGUGAUCCUAUUACCUGAUGCGGCGGCACCAAACCUCGCAAGGUCGAAGCCCGUACGCCGCCCUUUGUCGCCCACCGUGAGUCACCCCUCCGGUCCUCCCUCCUUACCCCCUCGCCAAGUCCCUAGAGGUCGCUCAACGCUGGAUCUGCCACGACCCUAGGCUCCCAGCUAUCUACGUCCUACUCCUGCCCCUGGCUAUACCUAUGACUGCGUCUCGGCAGCCGGCGCCCUGUGGAAGCCCUCCGCUUCAUAUCCCCGUGCUGUCGUGCAGCCAGCUGCCAGGAGGGACACCUGACCACACAAAAUGGAUAGGUUUUUUUAGCAGCAAACAAGACUUUAUCGAUGUAGUUGAGGCAAUAUUCAGAGGUGCGAUGAAAGGCAAACUGAUAGUGUCUUGCCCCCUUCCUCCUGAGAGGAUACCAAGAUUCUAACUUCUUUUCAAGGAUGUCUGAGAAAACUGCAGCUCAUCACGUGCACACAAUCAGCUACCUAGCCCAAGGUAAGUAGAAAAGCUGAAGCUUCUAUAAGAGAAGCACAACAGAGGGGACAAUGCAGGCGUGUUCGUGCUUCGAAAAAACCUAAUUGUGCUGGAAACAGCCAUUUUCAUUCUCAAGACUUUGCGCAAAUCUCUGCAAUAAUCUAAUGUUGUACUUGUCCAUAUUGCAUGUUUAGGUUUGUAUUUAAUCACGUUCAUCAAAUAUGAUGGGUAUAGAUUUCUUGUUUGGUCUACUAGUCAAGCAAGAGAAUGCCCUUCGUUUUGCUGAGGAUGCAAGUAUGUUCUACUCAAAUAAAUUACUCAUCCAACAUCCUGUGUUUUUCGCUAUUGGUGUCAUAGUAUGUUCUCCCUACAACAUUUUAUUAUUGCAGACCAGUUGUGCUAUGGCACCUGCCUUUAGUGUCUUCCUUACUUCCUAUUCAUAUGGCGAUUCUAUGAGUAUGGCACGAGCAGUAGAAGCUAUAAAGGUAAAAUUGGCCAGCUAUGCAUAACUAUGAAUUCCCAAACACUUGUUUUGACCCUUUUUGUUUGACCAUCAUUUUUUAUUUGCACGUGAACUGCUCAAAUUAUAUGGUACAAAUGUCUUGGGUUAGAGAUGUAAGUUUUUUCUGAACUACUUUGUUUACAUGUGUUUUCAGUAUGCAAAUAUUGCUAUGUCUCAAUUUAUAAAGCAAUAAAAAGUCAUUGUUGUCUAUUUAACACGCACCUUCUGUGACAAUGGCCAUUUCGUCACAAUUAAUGGCGUCACCAAAAUACUACCUAUGACAAAUAAACACUAGUUAGUGACGUAAUCAUAAUGUCACUGAAGGCCUAAAAUGUUGUAGUGUAUUUUGAGUAGCAGCAAGGUGUCCUUGAGUAGCAGCAAGGACACUUGUUUGAUCAACAUAGCACGGACCCUAGCAAGGACACUUGAGUAGUUGCUCUCUAAAAUUCAUGCAGCUCAAUAAGCAGCAGCACGGUGUUGUGAUCAUGCAGUUCUGUUGCGUUCAACUAUUGUAUAUUUAGCUUAAUCAUGGAGCAAUGGUGGUAUCUAUUCUAUAGUUUAUUUUGUAAUGGAUUUCUAAGUAGUCUACUAAUGAUUUGGGUUUUAAUUUUGUCAGGAGGGAGGUCCUAGAGGUAGUAAGUCACUUGUUUACUCCAUGAUGACAAUAGCAAGCAGAUCGCGGUGGUGCCUAUGGAUGCUACAACAAGAAAGAUCAAAAGUUCUUUUGGAUGGAUGCAGCUAGAUAUUUUGUUUUGUAUUUUCUCCAAAAGAGAAAUUUGCAAGUGAACUUAAAAUUGUGAAACCAACAUGUGGUUGUACUAGCUAGUAUCUCUAAGCUUUCACAAGCCAAACUUAGUGUUGUUGCUGCUUAUUUUAAUCUUUAUUACAACAAAAGCAAACUUGUGAACUUUAUGUGAAUGCAGUACAAUUGUUAUUGUCAUGAAUGAAAACAUGAGCUAUGUAUGAAUGCAGUACAAUUGCUAUGUAUGAAUGUA